GACUGACCACAAUCACUGAAAAUCUAGACUCCACCAGCAUAGAUGCUCAGAAUCUGACACGUAAUAACAAAAACAGCAACUUUUAGUUGUCCAAUAACUUUGCUGUUGUGGGAGGACAAAUCUGGUGGUGUGGUCUUGUCUUACUGCAUCUGCAAGAUACCGUACAAGGAAAGCACAUGAUUUAUUGUUCUGAAAGUUUUCGCCACAAGUUGGAACACUCACAUAUUAAAUCUGAAAACAUUUUUUCUCUCUCUUUGGUGUCAGAAGAUCAUGGAGCAGAAGAAGCUAACGUAGUAUUAUGUGUUAACAUCAUUACAACCAUGUUGGGUCCCAAGAACGUCUCACGUGGAAUUACAGAUGAAAAUGUCUUUCUCACAUAGCUACAUACAAAGCAGGUUAAAAGUUCAUGGACUCUGAAGCAUUUUCAGAUCACAAGACAAAUACGGUUGAAAUCCAACAAGUCAAGAGAACGCUAUCUGGGGAAAGUUUACCAAAGUAGGAGUGCAACCUUCAUAACUUUGAGGAUUGUACCCAUAAGUGUGUCAAGGACCUAUUUUUAAGAGGGACUCAGAGACAUUAAGUGGUGAAAAGAUUGCAUUAAGCAUCUAAAUCUUAAGACUGUGUAAGAUUAUGAAUGUAUUAAAACUAUAGCUAUGGCUAUCAA